rnacentral:lncRNA from 1 species
AGCUUUGGAGCUGGGAUUAGAACAGUUCUUCAGACCUCACUGUCCUGGGCUGGUCUCCCAAGAGGAAGUGGGCAGGUCACUGAGGGAGGGAAGCCAUCAAGGCCAUCAGAGCAAAUACAUAGAGGUCAGCUGAAGGUGUCCCAGAGUGCUGGAUUACAGUGUGUGUCUCCAUGCCUGGGGACACACGCUGUAACGUAUGUGGUGCUGGGGACCAAACCCAUGUCUCUGUGCAUCUGAGCUUUCCUUAGAUGGAGCCUCUGUCAGAGCCAAGAUGGUGCCGGUUUCCUCCGACUGUGACUAGAAGAUGGUGAGACCGAAGGCAACUUUAGAAGGCAACAAACCUUCAUACUGUCUUUUCCCAGGGAGGAGCCAUGAACUUUUGGUGGCCCUUCUCCUCAAGCUGGAAGAACAUUCGGGCUGGUGAACAUUAACCCUUCUGCAGCCAUGCCACGGUGAAACAGACACAAAACAACGUGGAUGAACCUUAGCCCCUUCCAUGGUUUAAAUGAGAGCAGCUCAUCUAGGCACGUAUGUUUGAAUAUUUGGCCUCCAAUUGGAAGAACCAGAUGGGAAAGGUGCAUACUAUGUCAUUAAAGGCAACUAAGUAAAGGCAAACCAUGCACAGACUGAGGAGUGUGUCUGGGAGCUGAUGCUGAGUUGAAGGCUGAAAGGACAGAUCCACACAAGCCCUUCACCAAGUCUCAAACUGCUGCCUCUCCUCAGUGUGGCUGGAGAAUGAAUGCCUCAUACUGACUCCUUGUCCUGUCUUAUAUACCUCUCAUGAGUACUGGGAUUAAAGGUCUUCAAACAUAGGUUGUCCACAGUUGAACGCCUAGCUGUCCUCUCAACCUCAACAACGGCCGGACAUGCUGCCUCCUGUAGGAUGAAUGCCUGGGAGUCAAACCUGGAAAACAUCAAACUCUGUCCUUCCUGGUUCAGCCUCUUUGGGGCUUAAUAUCAACUUGAAGGAUCUAGAAUCAUCCAGGAGACAGGCCUCUGGGCAUGAGGAACUUCUAGAUGGAUUAAUAAAGAUGGGAAGGUCCACUGGAAUUUUGGGAUUAAGGUGGGAAGAUCCACCUUAGCUAUGGGUAACAUCAUCUCCUGGGCUGGAGCACAGGACUGAAAACAAAGGAGAAGCCAAGCUGAGCAUUCGUCUCUUUCCACUUCCUGACUGUGGAUGGAAUGUGAUCAGCUGCCUUGAAUUUCUGCCACCAUGCCAUCCCCACCAUGGUGGACUGAACUCUUACUCUGUGAGCCAGAAUGUACCUACCCUUCCUUCUUUAUACUGCCUUUGCAAAGCAUUUUGUUACAGCAAUAAUAAAAGUAAUCAAGAGAGCAACCUCACCGCAUCUGCAGAUCCCAUUGUCCUGGUCUCUGAGUCAGUGCCCAUUUUUCCACUGCUAGAAUUCUCCAGCCUCAGCCGCCUCUUCGCAGUGAUCUCCCAAUGGUUUCCCCAUCACUUUCCCAUGGGUGGCAAGCUACACCUAUCCUUCAGACUGCCCUUUACACAAUGACUACAGUGAAUGGCAAAUGAACUCCAGUGCAGAAUAAAUCAAUCAAUCCAGUGAUUAUUUUUCAUCCAGUGAGACCUAGGAUAGAAUGCAUUGGUCACUUCUCAUGGCUGUCAUGACAUGAUGAGUGCUUAGGUGCCUGUUUCCUUCCCUGACCUUGGGGCUCUGAGGCAGCAGGGGUUCUGUCAGGCAUAUAAACCAC